AACGAACGCUGGCGGCAUGCCUAACACAUGCAAGUCGAACGAGACCUUCGGGUCUAGUGGCGCACGGGUGCGUAACGCGUUGGAACCUGCCCUUAGGUUCGGAAUAACUCCCCGAAAGGGGUGCUAAUACCGGAUAAUUUCUUCGGACCAAAGUUUUAUCGCCUUUGGAUGGGCCCGCGUUUGAUUAGCUAGUUGGUAGGGUAAAAGCCUACCAAGGCGACGAUCCAUAGCUGGUCUGAGAGGAUGAUCAGCCACACUGGGACUGAGACACGGCCCAGACUCCUACGGGAGGCAGCAGUGGGGAAUAUUGGAAAAUGGGCGAAAGCCUGAUCCAGCAAUGCCGCGUGAGUGAUGAAGGCCUUAGGGUUGUAAAGCUCUUUUACACGGGAUGAUAAUGACAGUACCGGGAGAAUAAGCUCCGGCUAACUCCGUG
rnacentral:rRNA from 1 species